AAAUAGAUACCCCGGUAGUCCAUGCCGUAAACGUUGGGAACUAGAUGUGGGACCAUUCCACGGUCUCCGUGUCGCAGCUAACGCAUUAAGUUCCCCGCCUGGGGAGUACGGCCGCAAGGCUAAAACUCAAAGGAAUUGACGGGGGCCCGCACAAGCGGCGGAGCAUGCGGAUUAAUUCGAUGCAACGCGAAGAACCUUACCAAGGCUUGACAUACACGAGAACGCUGCAGAAAUGCAGAACUCUUUGGACACUCGUGAACAGGUGGUGCAUGGUUGUCGUCAGCUCGUGUCGUGAGAUGUUGGGUUAAGUCCCGCAACGAGCGCAACCCUCGUCUUAUGUUGCCAGCACGUAAUGGUGGGGACUCAUAAGAGACUGCCGGGGUCAACUCGGAGGAAGGUGGGGAUGAGGUCAAAUCAUCAUGCCCCUUAUGUCUUGGGCUUCACGCAUGCUACAAUGGCCGGUACAAAGGGCAGCAAUACCGCGAGGUGGAGCAAAUACCCAAAAAGCCGGUCUCAGUUCGGAUUG
rnacentral:rRNA from 1 species